rnacentral:rRNA from 1 species
UACGAAGGGUGCAAACGUUGCUCGGAAUCAUUGGGCGUAAAGCGCACGUAGGCGGCUUCGCAAGUCGGAUGUGAAAUACCUCGGCUCAACCAAGGACGUGCAUACGAAACUGCGAGGCUUGAGUACUGAAGAGGAUCGCGGAAUUCCCGGUGUAGAGGUGAAAUUCGUAGAUAUCGGGAGGAACACCAGUGGCGAAGGCGGCGAUCUGGGCAGAUACUGACGCUGAGGUGCGAAAGCGUGGGGAGCAAACAGG